rnacentral:rRNA from 1 species
UAGUGACCGAUAGUGAACCAGUACCGUGAGGGAAAGGUGAAAAGUACCCCGGAAGGGGAGUGAAAUAGAACUUGAAACCGUGUGCUUACAAGUAGUCAGAGCCCGUUAAUGGGUGAUGGCGUGCCUUUUGUAGAAUGAACCGGCGAGUUACGAUUUGAUGCAAGGUUAAGCAGUGAAUGUGGAGCCGUAGCGAAAGCGAGUCUGAAUAGGGCGUUGAGUAUUUGGUCGUAGACCCGAAACCAGGUGAUCUACCCAUGACCAGGUUGAAGUUCAGGUAACACUGAAUGGAGGACCGAACCGACUUACGUUGAAAAGUGAGCGGAUGAGUUGUGGGUAGCGGAGAAAUUCCAAUCGAACCUGGAGAUAGCUGGUUCUCUCCGAAAUAGCUUUAGGGCUAGCCUCAAGUGAUGAUUAUUGGAGGUAGAGCACUGUUUGGACGAGGGGCCCUUAUCGGGUUACCGAAUUCAGACAAACUCCGAAUGCCAAUCAAUUUAACUUGGGAGUCAGAACGCGGGUGAUAAGGUCCGUGUUCGAAAGGGAAACAGCCCAGACCACCAGCUAAGGUCCCAAAAUAUAUGUUAAGUGGAAAAGGAUGUGGCGUUGCCCAGACAACUAGGAUGUUGGCUUAGAAGCAGCCAUCAUUUAAAGAGUGCGUAAUAGCUCACUAGUCGAGUGACACUGCGCCGAAAAUGUACCGGGGCUAAACAUAUUACCGAAGCUGUGGAUUGUCCGUAAGGACAAUGGUAGGAGAGCGUUCUAAGGGCGUUGAAGCAUGAUCGCAAGGACAUGUGGAGCGCUUAGAAGUGAGAAUGCCGGUGUGAGUAGCGAAAGACGGGUGAGAAUCCCGUCCACCGAUUGACUAAGGUUUCCAGAGGAAGGCUCGUCCGCUCUGGGUUAGUCGGGUCCUAAGCUGAGGCCGAUAGGCGUAGGCGAUGGAUAACAGGUUGAUAUUCCUGUUCCACCAUUAUUCGUUUUAAGCGAUGGGGGGACGCAGUAGGAUAGGCGAAGCGUACGAUUGGAUUGUACGUCCAAGCAGUGAGAUUGAGUGUUAGGCAAAUCCGGCACUCUUAAGAUUGAGCUGUGAUGGGGAGAGGAAAUUGUUUCCUCGAGUCGUUGAUUUCACACUGCCAAGAAAAGCCUCUAGCUAGAAUUGUGGUGCCCGUACCGCAAACCGACACAGGUAGUCAAGAUGAGAAUUCUAAGGUGAGCGAG